rnacentral:rRNA from 1 species
GAUGAACGCUGGCGGCGUGCUUAACACAUGCAAGUCGAACGGAAAGGCCCAAGCUUGCUUGGGUACUCGAGUGGCGAACGGGUGAGUAACACGUGGGUGAUCUGCCCUGCACUUCGGGAUAAGCCUGGGAAACUGGGUCUAAUACCGGAUAGGACGAUGGUUUGGAUGCCAUUGUGGAAAGUUUUUUCGGUGUGGGAUGAGAUCGCGGCCUAUCAGCCUGUUGGUGGGGUAAUGGCCUACCAAGGCGUCGACGGGUAGCCGGCCUGAGAGGGUGUACGGCCACAUUGGGACUGAGAUACGGCCCAGACUCCUACGGGAGGCAGCAGGGGGGAAUAUUGCACAAUGGGCGCAAGCCUGAUGCAGCGACGCCGCGUGGGGGAUGACGGCCUUCGGGUUGUAAACUCCUUUCGCUAGGGACGAAGCGUUUUUGUGACGGUACCUGGAGAAGAAGCACCGGCUAACUACGUG